rnacentral:rRNA from 1 species
UACAGAGGGGGCAAGCGUUGUUCGGAAUUACUGGGCGUAAAGCGCACGUAGGCGGACUCUUAAGUCAGGGGUGAAAUCCUGGAGCUCAACUCCAGAACUGCCUUUGAUACUGGGAGUCUUGAGUUCGGGAGAGGUGAGUGGAACUGCGAGUGUAGAGGUGAAAUUCGUAGAUAUUCGCAAGAACACCAGUGGCGAAGGCGGCUCACUGGCCCGAUACUGACGCUGAGGUGCGAAAGCGUGGGGAGCAAACAGG